rnacentral:rRNA from 1 species
AUACGUAGGGGGCGAGCGUUGUCCGGAAUGAUUGGGCGUAAAGGGCGCGUAGGCGGCCUGUUAAGUCUGGAGUGAAAGUCCUGUUUUCAAGAUGGGAAUUGCUUUGGAUACUGAUAGGCUUGAGUGCAGGAGAGGUUAUCGGAAUUCCCGGUGUAGCGGUGAAAUGCGUAGAGAUCGGGAGGAACACCAGUGGCGAAGGCGGGUAACUGGACUGCAACUGACGCUGAGGCGCGAAAGUGUGGGGAGCAAACAGGAUUAGAUACCCUGGUAGUCCACACUGUAAACGAUGAAUGCUAGGUGUAAGAGGUAUCGACCCCUUUUGUGCCGGAGUUAACACAAUAAGCAUUCCGCCUGGGGAGUACGGCCGCAAGGUUGAAACUCAAAUGAAUUGACGGGG